rnacentral:rRNA from 1 species
UACGAAGGGGGCUAGCGUUGCUCGGAAUCACUGGGCGUAAAGGGUGCGUAGGCGGGUCUUUAAGUCAGGGGGGAAAUCCUGGAGCUCAACUCCAGAACUGCCUUUGAUACUGAAGAUCUUGAGUUCGGGAGAGGUGAGUGGAACUGCGAGUGUAGAGGUGAAAUUCGUAGAUAUUCGCAAGAACACCAGUGGCGAAGGCGGCUCACUGGCCCGAUACUGACGCUGAGGCGCGAAAGCGUGGGGAGCAAGCAGG